rnacentral:rRNA from 1 species
AGAGUUUGAUCAUGGCUCAGAAUCAACGCUGGCGGCGUGCCUAACACAUGCAAGUCGAACGCGAAAGUGGAGCAAUCCAUGAGUAGAGUGGCGAACGGGUGAGUAACACGUGGGUGACCUACCUUCGAAUGGGGGAUAACGUCCCGAAAGGGACGCUAAUACCGCAUAACAUCCUGUCCUUGAACGGAUGGAGAUCAAAGCCGGGGAUCGCAAGACCUGGCGUUUGGAGAGGGGCCCGCGUCCGAUUAGCUAGUUGGUGAGGUAAUGGCUCACCAAGGCGACGAUCGGUAACCGGCCUGAGAGGGCGGACGGUCACACCGGGACUGAGACACGGCCCAGACUCCUACGGGAGGCAGCAGUGGGGAAUUGUUCACAAUGGGCGCAAGCCUGAUGACGCAACGCCGCGUGGAGGAUGAAGGUCUUCGGAUUGUAAACUCCUGUUGCUCGGGACGAAAAGCUUCGACCUAACACGUCGAAGUCUGACGGUACCGAGUGAGGAAGCCCCGGCUAACUCUGUGCCAGCAGCCGCGGUA